AUCCUACGGGAGGCAGCAGUGGGGAAUUUUGGACAAUGGGCGAAAGCCUGAUCCAGCAAUGCCGCGUGCGUGAAGAAGGCCUUCGGGUUGUAAAGCUCUUUUGUCAGGGAAGAAACGGUGAAAGCUAAUAUCUUUUGCUAAUGACGGUACCUGAAGAAUAAGCACCGGCUAACUACGUGCCAGCAGCCGCGGUAAUACGUAGGGUGCAAGCGUUAAUCGGAAUUACUGGGCGUAAAGCGUGCGCAGGCGGUUUUGUAAGUCUGAUGUGAAAUCCCCGGGCUCAACCUGGGAAUUGCAUUGGAGACUGCAAGGCUAGAAUCUGGCAGAGGGGGGUAGAAUUCCACGUGUAGCAGUGAAAUGCGUAGAUAUGUGGAGGAACACCGAUGGCGAAGGCAGCCCCCUGGGUCAAGAUUGAUGCUCAUGCACGAAAGCGUGGGGAGCAAACAGGAUUAGAAACCCUAGUAGUCCC
rnacentral:rRNA from 1 species